ensembl:snRNA U7 U7 small nuclear RNA
AAGUGUUAUAGCUCUUCUAGAAUUGGUCUAGUAGGUUUCUGGUCUUUAUCAGAAGAACCCCU